AACAAACGCUGGCGGCGUGCCUAAUACAUGCAAGUCGAACGGGGAAAGCUUUCGGGCGAGUACUAGUGGCGCACGGGUGAGUAACACGUGGGUAAUCUUCCUCGGAGCGUGGGAUAACUAGUCGAAAGAUUAGCUAAUACCACAUAAGACCACAGAAUCUGCGGAUUCAGAGGUCAAAGUUUUUCACUCUGAGAUGAGCCCGCGCAAGAUUAGCUAGUUGGUGAGGUAAUGGCUCACCAAGGCGACGAUCCUUAGCUGGUCUGAGAGGAUGAUCAGCCACACUGGAACUGGGACACGGUCCAGACUCCUACGGGGGGCAGCAGUAGGGAAUAUUGAACAAUGGAGGAAACUCUGAUGCAGCGACGCCGCGUGAGUGAUGAAGGACUUCGGUUCGUAAAGCUCUGUCGUAUGGGAAUAAGAAAGUGAAUGUACCAUGCAAGAAAGGAUCGGCUAACUUCGUGCCAGCCGCCGCCGUAA
rnacentral:rRNA from 1 species